GACGAACGCUGGCGGCGUGCUUAACACAUGCAAGUCGAACGGAAAGGCCUCUUUCGGGGGGUACUCGAGUGGCGAACGGGUGAGUAACACGUGAGUAACCUGCCCUUGACUUUGGGAUAACUUCAGGAAACUGGGGCUAAUACCGGAUAGGAGCUCCUGCUGCAUGGUGGGGGUUGGAAAGUUUCGGCGGUUGGGGAUGGACUCGCGGCUUAUCAGCUUGUUGGUGGGGUAGUGGCUUACCAAGGCUUUGACGGGUAGCCGGCCUGAGAGGGUGACCGGCCACAUUGGGACUGAGAUACGGCCCAGACUCCUACGGGAGGCAGCCGUGGGGAAUAUUGCUCGAUGGGUGGAAGCCUGAUGCAGCAACGCCGUGUGCGGGAUGACGGCCUUCGGGUUGUAAACCGCUUUCGCUCAUGACGAAGCUUUGUGUGACGGUAGUGGGUAAAGAAGCACCGGCUAACUACGUG
rnacentral:rRNA from 1 species